UCAGUCCCUAUCAGGGCACAGCAUGGACAUGAAGGUCCCCACUCAGCUCCUGGGGCUCCUGCUGCUCUGCCUCCCAGGUACCAGAUGUGACAUCCAGAUGACCCAGUCUCCAUCCUCCGUGUCUGCAUCUCCAGGAGAAACAGUCACCAUCUCUUGCCGGGCCAGUCAGGGCAUUAAUAAUAAUUUAGUCUGGUACCAGCACAAACCAGGGAAGCCUCCUAAGUCCUUGAUCUAUGGAGCAUCCAACUUGUACCCCGGGGUCUUAUCGAGGUUCAGUGGCAGUGGGUCUGGGACAGAUUAUUCUCUCACCAUUAGAGGCCUGGAGACUGAUGAUGCUGCAACAUAUUACUGUCAACAAUAUAAUAGUUUCCCUCACACAGUGUUACAAGGCUGA